rfam:Metarhizium acridum CQMa 102 unplaced genomic scaffold Scf_034, whole genome shotgun sequence.
GCUCCCUUGGCUCAGUGGUAAAGCGUGUCACUAGUAAUGAUAAGAUCACUGGUUCGAUUCCAGUAGGGAGCA